GACAGAGGCCUCAAGCGUUAGGCGGAAUCACUGGGCUUAAAGCGUGUGUAGGCGGAUCGUUAAGUGCCUUGUGAAAUCCCACGGCUUAACUGUGGAACGGCUGGGCAUACUGGCGGUCUUGAGCCAUCUAGGGGCGACUGGAACAAACGGUGGAGCGGUGAAAUGCGUAGAUAUCGUUUGGAACGCCAAUGGUGAAAACAGGUCGCUGGGGAUGAGCUGACGCGUGAGAACACGAAAGCCAGGGGAGCAAACGGG
rnacentral:rRNA from 1 species